UCUCUCUCUAUACUCUCUUUUCCUCCAUUGAUGUCCAUUGAAGAAAGCUUAGAGAAGCUUCAUCAAACACUACUAUGAGAUAAUCCACUAUCCAAUCCAAUCAAACACUAUCAUAUCUCAUCAAAUUCAAGAAGCUAGAGCUAAGAUCAAAGUUGGAGCAAAGUCUUGAUCACCUUUUAAAUCCUUGAACACGAGAAGAGCAAGGAAGUAAGUAACUCCACUUUGACGGGAGAUUUUGAGUAAGGUCUUCAGGAUAAGCGGAGGGGGAGUAUGGUGCGGUGCUGGUGGAGAAUGUUUCGGGUUGACGUUUUCUUUCUCUAUCGUAUGUCUGUUUUGUCGAUAGAGUUUUGAUAUGAAGUUAUGUUAAAUAGAGUUUGAUGUUUAAGAUACUUAAUUUCCUUUGAAAAUCAAGCAAUA